CAGUGAUUGACUGUGCUGGCAGGGAGAUUACUUUUCCAGAUCCUUCUUCUGGUCAGACAAUUCAAAGUGGAUGUUAAAAGAACGGAAGAAUAGCUGCAGUGUAUCUCUUGGCAAAUUAGCCUAUUUAUUGUGAAUCAAGGCAGCAGUUUUAUUUGGGACUUCAGGCUUCACAUUCACUCAAGAAAUCUCUGGUGCGUCAAAUUAUGCCUUUUGACGGAUUUCAGCAUUUGUGUAGAACCAUUGCUGUCAUAACCAACCAUGGCA
rnacentral:lncRNA from 1 species